UACGUAGGGCGCAAGCGUUGUCCGGAAUUAUUGGGCGUAAAGAGCUCGUAGGCGGCUUGUCACGUCGGGUGUGAAAGCUCGGGGCUUAACCCCGGGUCUGCAUUCGAUACGGGCUGGCUGGAGUGUGGUAGGGGAGAUCGAAUUCCUGGUGUAGCGGUGAAAUGCGCAGAUAUCAGGAGGAACACCGGUGGCGAAGGCGGAUCUCUGGGCCAUUACUGACGCUGAGGAGCGAAAGCGUGGGGAGCGAACAGG
rnacentral:rRNA from 1 species